AUGAGCUCCUGAUUGAAUGAGUCAGUGAUGAUUUGUGACCUGCAUUAUUUCUGGAACUACAUUAAUUUUUUUUUAUUUUAAAACCUGGAUUAUACAAACAGCUGAUAAAGGAUUGGACACAUUUGUGUUCGGUGAUUAACAGUGAUCAUAAAACUUGUUCUUCUGGGUGUUACAGUGAUACACAGUGAUGCACUAAAAGGACAUGAUAUCUAAUGAGUAAAGAGCAGUUAUGGACUUGACAGCAUGAAACACAGCUGGAGUUUUACAGUAAGCUUUUUCUCUUCGUGGCUAUUCCUCUGUGAAUCGUUUUUAAGUCUCUAGUGGCCGUGCCAUGCAAAUUAUAUCCUGUGUUUGAACCAUUUAUGCUGAUACACAUUCAGCUCAACAUCAUACCAUCGGUUUCUGUUCAUUUACAGCAACAGUGAUCAUUUAAAUUAUUUGAGAUGGGAGUAGGCAGAGUUUUGAGUUACUUUGCUCUAGCAAUGUUCAUUCAAUAUUCCUGCACUCAGACACUAAUCGAGUCUGAUUCAGUGAACAUCAAACCUGAUCAGUCUCAUAAACUGACCUGCACAGCCUCUGGAUUGGACUUUAGUAACUACUGGAUGGCUUGGAUCAGACAGACACCUGGAAAAGGGCUGGAAUUUGUUGCAAUUAUAAGAUAUGACAGUGGUAGCACAUAUUACUCCAAUGAAGUUAAUGGCCGCUUCACCAUCUCCAGAGAAAACAGUAAGAAGCAGGUGUAUCUGCACAUGAACAGCGUGAGGACAGAAGACACCGCAGUGUAUUACUGCGCCCGUGACCCACACUGAUAGUUCUCCUUAGUCGUCAGUACAAAAACACAUGCGUGCUAUAGUCACAUGACAAGCUCAUAUUUUCAUAAACAGUGUAUUCAUGGAG